rnacentral:rRNA from 1 species
AGAAUCUUUCGCAAUGCCCGAAAGGGUGACGAAGCGACGCCGCGUGUGGGAAGAAGGCCUUCGGGUUGUAAACCACUGUCGGGAGUUAAGAAAUGUAAGGAUGUUAAUAGCGUCCUUACUUGACUAAGGCUCCGGAGGAAGCCACGGCUAACUCUGUGCCAGCAGCCGCGGUAAUACAGAGGCGGCAAGCGUUGUUCGGAAUUAUUGGGCGUAAAGAGCACGUAGGCGGCCUUGAAAGUCAGUUGUGAAAGCCUUCUGCUUAACGGAAGAACAGCAUCUGAUACUACAGGGCUUGAGUGCAGGAGGGGAGAGUGGAACUUCUGGUGGAGCGGUGAAAUGCGUAGAUAUCAGAAGGAACGCCGGCGGCGAAAGCGGCUCUCUGGCUCGUAACUGACGCUGAGUGUGCGAAAGCUAGGGGAUCAAACGGGAUUAGAUACCCCGGUAGUCCUAGCCGUAAACGAUGGGCACUAAGUAGAGGGGUUUUGAUUAUCUCUCUGCCGGAGCUAACGCAUUAAGUGCCCCGCCUGGGAAGUACGGCCGCAAGGCUAAAACUCAAAAGAAUUGACGGGGGCUCGCACAAGCGGUGGAGCAUGUGGCUUAAUUCGAUGCAACGCGAAGAACCUUACCGGGGUUUGACAUGGUAGAAGUAGGAACCAGAAACGGUAACGAACGGUAUCCAGUCCGUAACUAUCACAGGUGUUGCAUGGCUG